rnacentral:rRNA from 1 species
GACGAACGCUGGCGGCGUGCUUAACACAUGCAAGUCGAACGAACAGACCAUGCGUUUGUUGGGUGCUCGUGUGCCGAGGGGGGGAGUAAAACGUGAGUAUAAUGCCCUUGACUUUCGGGUAACUUCAGGGGAAUGGGGAUCAAACCGGGUAUGAGCUCCUGCUGCACGGUGGGGAAUGGAAAGAGUCGGCGGUGGAGCAUGGAAUCGCGGUUUAUCCGCUUGUUGGUGGGGUAGUGGAUUACCAAGGCUUUGAAGGGUAGCCGGCCUGGGAGGGUGACCGGCCACAUUGGGACUGGGAUACCGCCCGGACUGCUACGGGCGGCAGCAGUGGGGACUAUGGCACGAUGGGCGGAAGCCUGAUGCAGCAACGCCGCGUGCGGGAUGACGGCCUUCGGGGUGUAACCCGCGUUCGCCUGUGACGAAGCGUGAGUGACGGUAAUGGGUAAAGAAGCACCGGCGAACUACGU